rnacentral:rRNA from 1 species
GGACUACUGGGGUAUCUAAUCCUGUUCGCUCCCCACGCUUUCGCUCCUCAGCGUCAGAACAGGCCCAGAGAACCGCCUUCGCCACCGGUGUUCCUCCUGAUAUCUGCGCAUUUCACCGCUACACCAGGAAUUCCGUUCUCCCCUGCCUGCCUCCAGCCAGCCCGUAUCCACUGCACGCCCGGGGUUAAGCCCCGGGAUUUCACAGCGGACGCAACUGGCCGCCUACGAGCUCUUUACGCCCAAUAAUUCCGGACAACGCUCGCGCCCUACGUAUUACCGCGGCGGCUGGCAC